AUGUGUGGUCCUCCACCCUGCCCGCAGGGUCCUCCAUGGGGACCUAUCACAACAACAUGACAACCCAGAGCUCGUCCCUCCUCAACACCAAUGCCUACUCUGCGGGAUCAGUCUUCGGAGUUCCAAAUAACAUGGCGUCCUGCUCACCCACUUUGCACCCUGGACUCAGCACUUCCUCCUCAGCCCAGAAGCAGAGGCACAGGGUUGCACAGAGCCUGCCCUCAACCACAGGGAGAACUCAGACCUCAAGGGAAAAGCCUCAGGCGAGUGAACAUGAGCCCACAUUGAUUAUUUGGCAUGCAGAACAAUCUGGCCCCCAGCUCGACUACCCUGUCCCAUGGCACCACCACUACUUCCACAGCAUAUGGGGUGAAGAAAAACAUGCCCCAGAGUCCUGCGGCUGUGAACACUGGCGUUUCCACCUCUGCCGCCUGCACCACAAGUGUGCAGAGCGAUGACCUUUUGCACAAGGACUGCAAGUUCCUGAUCCUAGAGAAAGACAACACACCUGCCAAGAAGGAGAUGGAGCUGCUCAUCAUGACCAAGGACAGCGGGAAGGUCUUUACGGCCUCCCCCGCCAGCAUCGCUGCAACUUCUUUUUCAGAAGACACCCUAAAAAA
rnacentral:sRNA from 1 species